rnacentral:rRNA from 1 species
UGCGGGAUGACGGCCUUCNGGGUUGUAAACCGCUUUCAGCAGGGAAGAAGCGAAAGUGACGGUACCUGCAGAAGAAGUACCGGCUAACUACGUGCCAGCAGCCGCGGUAAUACGUAGGGUACGAGCGUUGUCCGGAAUUAUUGGGCGUAAAGAGCUCGUAGGUGGUUGGUCACGUCUGCUGUGGAAACGCAACGCUUAACGUUGCGCGUGCAGUGGGUACGGGCUGACUAGAGUGCAGUAGGGGAGUCUGGAAUUCCUGGUGUAGCGGUGAAAUGCGCAGAUAUCAGGAGGAACACCGGUGGCGAAGGCGGGACUCUGGGCUGUAACUGACACUGAGGAGCGAAAGCAUGGGGAGCGAACAGGAUUAGAUACCCUGGUAGUCCAUGCCGUAAACGUUGGGCACUAGGUGUGGGGGACAUUCCACGUUCUCCGCGCCGUAGCUAACGCAUUAAGUGCCCCGCCUGGGGAGUACGGUCGCAAGGCUAAAACUCAAAGGAAUUGACGGGGGCCCGCACAAGCGGCGGAGCAUGCGGAUUAAUUCGAUGCAACGCGAAGAACCUUACCAAGGCUUGACAUACACUGGACCGUUCUGGAAACAGUUCUUCUCUUUGGAGCUGGUGUACAGGUGGUGCAUGGUUGUCGUCAGCUCGUGUCGUGAGAUGUUGGGUUAAGUCCCGCAACGAGCGCAACCCUCGUUCUAUGUUGCCAGCACGUGAUGGUGGGAACUCAUAGGAGACUGCCGGGGUCAACUCGGAGGAAGGUGGGGAUGACGUCAAAUCAUCAUGCCCUUUAUGUCUUGGGCUUCACGCAUGCUACAAUGGCUGGUACAGAGAGAGGCGAACCCGUGAGGGUAAGCGAAUCCCUUAAAGCCAGUCUCAGUUCGGAUCGUAGUCUGCNNNUCGACUACGUGAAGUCGGAGUCGCUAGUAAUCGCAGAUCAGCAACGCUGCGGUGAAUACGUUCCCGGGCCUUGUACACACCGCNCGUCAAAGUCACGAAAGUCGGUAACACCCGAAGCCGGUGUCC